rnacentral:sRNA from 29 species
GACUGCAGCAUUGCUCCUAUGUUCGCUCUUGUGAUCGGUUCUCUCCUCCUCCCUGAGCCGAUCCGGAAUAAUCGGCGGCAUCCACCUCCUCCCGGAUGUCGCCUUUUUA